GCAAGUUCCAUUGGUAAAAAAAUAAUCAGAUGUGGUUUUUGCUAAAAUUAUUUAAGUAGUUAGCUCUGUUCAAAACAUGUCAUGGACAGGAUUAGAAAUCUUCAUUUAUGCACUGCCCUUGUUUUACCGAGGUUGGGAUGACCCAAGACUCUGAUGGUUAAUUUUGUGAUGUAAUAAAUGCAUAUCUGGAGCCAAAAUGUCACUCGCCUGAUUCGGAAGUUGUGCAGAGGUAAAAAAGUUCGUGGAAAACUACUUCACUAUAUGGUUUAUUUAUCUCAGAUAGCCUGGUUCCCAAUGGUUGAAAUGAUGCUUUGUUUUCAGUAUGUGCUCGCCUUUUUUUUUUGUCUUGUCUGUUUUGGGUGAUUCAUGGGGAAAUGAUAAUAGACAGUUACUAAAUGGUUUUGUGCCGAUGAUUUAUUUCUUGUAUCUCCUUAGGGUACGUGGACAUCAUCCUUUUUUUUGCCCACAACUUCAACAAGUAUGUGACGAAUAUUUUGAUUGGAGCCUAGAGAAAACUGAUCAAUACAUACUUCCCAAGAUUGCUGAGAGAACUUCGAAGACCUUCUCUACGUCGUCAGCAGUAGGAAUAAAGCCCUUAUUGAGUGAGUUUUCUUGAGGAGCUUGUGGAGGUAUAGAUGAUUGAGGGAGUGGCACGCGGUGUUGACGGCUUCAGCCCAAAAGACAUUCGAAGUCUUGUACUAAUCAAGCAUUGUCCGAGGCAUCUCAAUGAGUCUGGUUCUUCCUGUCCACAAUCCCAUUUUGAAGGGGAUCAAAUGGAAUAGUUUAAUUCAAUGUGAUGUACAAUUAACCAUAAACUUGUGAUGUACAUUUGAGCACAAUACAAGUUGUCCUUGUUUUUAUAUU